UGUUCGAUAGCUCGACCUGGAAGAGCGGCCGGCGCAAGCCGGACGGUAGCGGGUUCAAAUCCCGCUCGAACGC
rnacentral:tRNA from 1 species